rnacentral:lncRNA from 1 species
CUGAUGGAGCAGCACCUCAGCUUCCUCAGCCUUUUCGCCCUCUCCCAGCGACAGACUGGUGACGUGAGAAAGGUGAAGAGGAAGGCUUUGAACAUGGUUUCCUUGGAAGAGAAGACGCGAUUUCAUCAAGCUAUGACCAAGGUCCUCGAACGAUGGGAAGAAACGCCCCGCCCACUCCUCAUGUGACAGGAAAGAAAGGAAUCCAAACCGACUACAGAGCUAAGCUGAAAAUAAACUUCCACUUGCUGCUAAGGCUGAAGGCCUGAGUUCAACAUUGUUGUCCUCUGAAUGUGCGCAGGUGCACAGGCCCUCACACGCAAAUAAAUGUAAUAAAACGUAAAAUUGAAA